CUCCAAGGAGCAGGCUGAGGGUCAAAGCUCCUCCUCCAGGUUCCUCUCUCUCUGUGUUCAGACUCUUGUGCCAUCUAGUGGUCAUCAGUCCGUACUGCAUCAGUUCUGUCCUGAUGGUGUCCAUCUACCGCAGCAGGAGGACAGGAAACAGACCUGCCGUCUCCAUGGCAACCAGCCAGCGUGAUGGAGGAGAUCAGGGAUUGGAUGGAGAGAAUGAUGAUGUCACCACUGAGCAUGACUUCUGAGCUGCAGCUUGUGUUUUAAUCAUUUACAGUAAACUGAUGAUGAAGAGGAGGAAGCUGAUCACACCUUA